AAAGAGCUUUGGACAGACACGACAUCCCCGUGGCCAUUGUGUCUGCUCGCUCAGCGGGAGUGAUCGUGUCAUUCCAAAGCAAUUU